rnacentral:rRNA from 1 species
UACGUAGGGUGCAAGCGUUGCCCGGAUUUAUUGGGCGUAAAGGGCGCGCAGGCGGCUAUGCACGUCCGUUGUGAAAUCGCUCGGCUCAACUGGGCGGGGUCAGCGGAUACGGCGUAGCUGGAGCAAGCUAGGGGGCAAUGGAAUUCCCGGUGUAGUGGUGGAAUGCGUAGAUAUCGGGAGGAACACCAGUGGCGAAGGCGGUUGCCUGGAGCUUUGCUGACGCUGAGGCGCGAAAGCGUGGGGAGCGAUCCGG